UACGGAGGAUCCGAGCGUUAUCCGGAUUUAUUGGGUUUAAAGGGUGCGCAGGCGGGAGAUUAAGUCGGCGGUGAAAUUUUGCGGCUCAACCGUAAAAGUGCCUUCGAUACUGGUUUUCUUGAGUGUAGAUGAAGUAGGCGGAAUUUGUGGUGUAGCGGUGAAAUGCAUAGAUAUCACGAGGAACUCCGAUUGCGCAGGCAGCUUACUAAACUACUACUGACGCUCAGGCACGAAGGCGUGGGGAUCAAACAGGAUUAGAUACCCCUGUAGU
rnacentral:rRNA from 1 species